GAUGAACGCUGGCGGCGUGCCUAAUACAUGCAAGUCGAGCGAACGGACGAGAAGCUUGCUUCUCUGAUGUCAGCGGCGGACGGGUGAGUAACACGUGGAUAACCUACCUAUAAGACUGGGAUAACUUCGGGAAACCGGAGCUAAUACCGGAUAAUAUUUUGAACCGCAUGGUUCAAAAGUGAAAGACGGUCUUGCUGUCACUUAUAGAUGGAUCCGCGCUGCAUUAGCUAGUUGGUAAGGUAACGGCUUACCAAGGCAACGAUGCAUAGCCGACCUGAGAGGGUGAUCGGCCACACUGGAACUGAGACACGGUCCAGACUCCUACGGGAGGCAGCAGUAGGGAAUCUUCCGCAAUGGGCGAAAGCCUGACGGAGCAACGCCGCGUGAGUGAUGAAGGUCUUCGGAUCGUAAAACUCUGUUAUCAGGGAAGAACAUAUGUGUAAGUAACUGUGCACAUCUUGACGGUACCUAAUCAGAAAGCCACGGCUAACUACGUG
rnacentral:rRNA from 1 species